UCGUAGGUGACCUGCGGAAGGAUCAUUG
rnacentral:rRNA from 2 species